UUCGCUGGCCAGGUGCUCUUAAGCAUGCAAGUCAAACGGGAUGUAGCAAUACAUUCAGUGGCGAACGGGUGAGUAACGCGUGGAUGAUCUACCUAUGAGAUGGGGAUAACUAUUAGAAAUAGUAGCUAAUACCGAAUAAGGUCAGUUAAUUUGUUAAUUGAUGAAAGGAAGCCUUUAAAGCUUCGCUUGUAGAUGAGUCUGCGUCUUAUUAGCUAGUUGGUAGGGUAAAUGCCUACCAAGGCAAUGAUAAGUAACCGGCCUGAGAGGGUGAACGGUCACACUGGAACUGAGAUACGGUCCAGACUCCUACGGGAGGCAGCAGCUAAGAAUCUUCCGCAAUGGGCGAAAGCCUGACGGAGCGACACUGCGUGAAUGAAGAAGGUCGAAAGAUUGUAAAAUUCUUUUAUAGGAAGAGGAAUAAGCUUUGAU
rnacentral:rRNA from 1 species